CCCUAUCGAGCUUUACUGGAUACCAGUAGCGUUAAUUUAGAAUGAUCGGUACUAAGUAUUCUAAUUUUAAGUUAAUAAUUUUUGCUGGCAGGACAGUUUAGUUGGGGCGACUACCUUUGAAUAAGAAACGAAGGCGAGCUUAUGGUAUUAUUAAAAUCUCAUUAGCCUGACAGUGAGGGGGACACCCCUAGCUGGCACAAGGACCUACCCGUAUAGUAUUAAAUAUAGACACAAUGGGCUCCUAUGUGGGCGAUAAUGACCCGAUAUAAUUAUCCUCAUAAAUAUCGAAAGCGGAUAAAAGCUACCGCAGGGAUAACAGCGUAAUAUUGUCGGAGAGUUCUUAUCG
rnacentral:rRNA from 1 species